rnacentral:rRNA from 1 species
UACGGGGGGGGCAAGCGUUGUUCGGAUUUACUGGGCGUAAAGGGCGCGUAGGCGGCGCGGUAAGUCACUUGUGAAAUCUCUGAGCUUAACUCAGAACGGCCAAGUGAUACUGCAGUGCUAGAGUGCAGAAGGGGCAAUCGGAAUUCUUGGUGUAGCGGUGAAAUGCGUAGAUAUCAAGAGGAACACCUGAGGUGAAGACGGGUUGCUAGGCUGACACUGACGCUGAGGCGCGAAAGCCAGGGGAGCAAACGGG